UCGGGUAUGGUGUAGCGGUAACAUCGCUGACUCUCAACUUCAGAGAUGCUCAGCAGCCCGGGGUUCGACUCCCCGUAUCCGAG